rnacentral:snRNA from 1 species
CAAACCUUGUUUGGCUUGAUCAA